ensembl:snoRNA
GUCCACGUUACCAUGGGAGCUGUGUUUUUGAAUGACAGUCUCCCUUCCUAGGCGUGGUACAGCAAGUUCUUGCUCUUACUCCGACAAUCUCUUGUGCUGUUAUCACAAGAGAUAGGAAUAGGAGAAGGAACAUUU